GCGUCCAUCAUAAUUUUGUAAGUGUCGCGCGGCGACUUUAUGUAAAAAAAAAGAAUAAAAACAAAAGAUUAGGCCAAAAAGUAAACAAAGCGAGGUCCGCUCCACAAGUUGCAUUCUGAAUACGUAAUGUCACGCGACAAAUAAGAUGGCAACCCUCGCUUAAAUGAUUAGUCCAAAACAGAUUUGGUAACGCUUAAAUUGGACAAAUAGGAGCAAGACUACGGUGCUGUAAUCCACACCAAAAGUGCCCCCACUGUGGUGGUAGCCCUGACAGUCUGCGACGAUGGAAAGGCUUCGUCGUACAGUGUUUACUCAAUAAAUGGGUCAGUGGACGAAUGCGAUCGUGUUUCUCUCGUUCACAUACUAAUCAAUAAUACACCUACAUACAUAAUUUGCUUUUUAUUUUCAAAUUAAUCGUAAAUAUACAUACAUAUCGAUAAGACAGACGCCUCCAACAUGCUGGACAAGCGCUAAGUGGUAAAUGCUAAACUCCAUAUUUCGAUGGCCCUUCGACCAGCAGCAGACUAUUGUAAAUUUAUAGCUAUUUUUGGAUGCCAAAAUAUUGUUGUGCUUUAUCUUUUGAAAGAAAAUAAGGGUAAUUUGAAAAGUCGGCGACGUUGAAGUCGGCACGUUAGCCAAAAAAAGCAAAAACAAGAAAUAUGCGUAAACAAAAUUGUAAACGAAAAACAAAAAUAAGUAAACAACA